rnacentral:rRNA from 1 species
GAUGAACGCUAGCGGCAGGCUUAAUACAUGCAAGUCGUGGGGCAGCAUGAGUGUAGCAAUACAUUUGAUGGCGACCGGCAAACGGGUGCGGAACACGUACACAACCUUCCUAUAAGUGGGGAAUAGCCCAGAGAAAUUUGGAUUAAUACCCCGUAACAUAACGAUGUGGCAUCACAUUGUUAUUAUAGCUUCGGCGCUUAUUGAUGGGUGUGCGGCUGAUUAGAUAGUUGGCGGGGUAACGGCCCACCAAGUCUACGAUCAGUAGCUGAUGUGAGGGCAUGAUCAGCCACACGGGCACUGAGACACGGGCCCGACUCCUACGGGAGGCAGCAGUAAGGAAUAUUGGUCAAUGGACGCAAGUCUGAACCAGCCAUGCCGCGUGAAGGAUUAAGGUCCUCUGGAUUGUAAACUUCUUUUAUCUGGGACGAAAAAAGGCUUUUCUAAGUCACUUGACGGUACCAGAUGAAUAAGCACCGGCUAACUCCGUGCCAGCCGCCGCCGUAAUAC